GGAAUAUCCAUUUCGAGUAUACGAAUCUAAAUCCCAGCUUCCAGGACCCAAAUUUUUCAUAGGCGAUCUUCCGCCAUGGGAGCACAAUCGCUCAUCAUAGAAGUUUUGAUUCUUGUCAGAGAAAGGGGCAGAGAAAACAAGGGAAAAAAAGUAAAGUUUGUUCGUAACUUACUUCAUGGGUUCUGAAAACAGUGGUAAAAGCGUUUAACUCCAUCCAUCGUAGAAGCAGUUCCUCACUUCUUCGGUACUUGAUGAACGAAAUAGGAACUUCAUGAGCUUUUAGCACAUCCCAGAUUUGGCGGACGGCAUCAGUGCCACCCUGCAUCCCUACCACAGCACCUGAUAUUAUCCAUCCAGGAAGCUCUGGAGGCCUCCCAAUGGUCUCAGUGAAACGUUCAAUAAGCUCUGAUGGCGAGUUCCCAUGCAAUAUCCUUCCUUGAAUGGAAUUUCCAUAAAUCUGCCAUCUCCGGUUCCCAGAAAAUAGGAAAACUGUAAGUUUAAAAUUCUUAUAUGAGCGCCUUACUUGUGCUAGAAUUUAGAUCUUUUCUCUUUACAUUAUAACUUUGUGUUAAAACAAAUCUCUUGCUUUUAUUUAUAGUAUAUUUGUUAUGUUUCUUUUUUA